GACGAACGCUGGCGGCGUGCUUAACACAUGCAAGUCGAACGAUGAAGCCAGAGCUUGCUCUGGUGAAUUAGUGGCGAACGGGUGAGUAACACGUGAGUAACCUGCCCUUGACUCUGGGAUAACUGCGGGAAACUGUAGCUAAUACCGGAAACGACCCUCGGAGGCAUCUCCUGGGGGUGGAAAGAAUUUCGGUCAAGGAUGGACUCGCGGCCUAUCAGCUAGUUGGUGAGGUAAAGGCUCACCAAGGCGACGACGGGUAGCCGGCCUGAGAGGGUGACCGGCCACACUGGGACUGAGACACGGCCCAGACUCCUACGGGAGGCAGCAGUGGGGAAUAUUGCACAAUGGGCGCAAGCCUGAUGCAGCAACGCCGCGUGAGGGAUGACGGCCUUCGGGUUGUAAACCUCUUUUAGCAGGGAAGAAGCGAAAGUGACGGUACCUGCAGAAAAAGCACCGGCUAACUACGUGCCAGCAGCCGCCGUAA
rnacentral:rRNA from 1 species